rnacentral:rRNA from 1 species
UCGAGAAUCUUCCGCAAUGGACGCAAGUCUGACGGAGCGACGCCGCGUGCGGGAUGAAGGUCUUUGGAUUGUAAACCGCUGUCACGCGUUAUGAAUGCGCAGCAGUCAAUACCUGCUGCGUUGACAAAGGCGCGAGAGGAAGUCACGGCUAACUCUGUGCCAGCAGCCGCGGUAAUACAGAGGUGGCAAGCGUUGCUCGGUAUCACUGGGCUUAAAGGGCGCGUAGGCGGUGCGGUACGGUUUCGGUGAAAUCCCUCGGCCCAACCGAGGAACAGCCGGGGCUACGGCCGCACUAGACGGCAUCAGGGGACAGUGGAACUCCCGGUGGAGCGGUGAAAUGCGUAGAUAUCGGGAGGAACGCCGGUGGCGAAAGCGACUGUCUGGGGUGCCUGUGACGCUGAGGCGCGAAAGCCAGGGGAUCAAA